AUGGAGUACAAGGUGAAGAGCCAUGACAGCAAGCACAAGGGGUCAGGGUCAGGAGGGCUGAGCAGGAUGCUGAGGCAGCACAAGGCCAGGCUCUAUAUCAUCCGCCGAUGCGUCGUCAUGCUCCUCUGCUCUUGA
rnacentral:rRNA from 1 species